AUGACUACCUCUCCUGAAAGAGUGCCAAAGGAUAGUGGCCUCCUUUUGGUUUCCUAUCUGAAAGGUAGAGGCCUUCAGCCAGUCAGGGUACCAGGGAAAUCAGAGCCAGAAACAAAGACUGGGAGUCAUAAAGUUAAAGGGAGCCAAGACCUGUUUAAGCUUUGUGCCUUUAUUCAGAACCUGAAAUGCUAAGACUACAAGAUUCUCAAGUAACUCCAAGACCCAAAGUGCCAUCUCUGUCUACAAAACUAAAAUAUGACACCCAGGACAAGAUGAUUAUUAGAGAUGCAGCAUACUUCCAUGCAGCCAUCUUAUGUAUUAAAUAUAAACAAAGCGGUCACCAUUCACAGAAAUAAAUGAUUCACUUGCAAAU
rnacentral:lncRNA from 1 species